GUCCAGUCGAUUGCAUCCAUUGGACUUCAGCUGCACAAUUAUCUCUGCUCGAAGAUGAAAUCCGCAGGGUCGAAAGAGUGAACGUUGCAUUUAUGCUGUCCGGAAUGGGAUCAUCAGCUGUGGAUGUUUUUAGAUUGGCAAGUUCUCGAUGGGAAAAGAGGUAAGCAAAAGUCUUGG